UACGUAGGUGGCAAGCGUUGUCCGGAUUUACUGGGCGUAAAGAGCGCGCAGGCGGUCGUUCAAGUCGCGUGUGAAAGCCCCCGGCUCAACUGGGGAGGGUCACGCGAUACUGAUCGACUCGAAGGCAGGAGAGGGUAGUGGAAUUCCCGGUGUAGUGGUGAAAUGCGUAGAUAUCGGGAGGAACACCAGUGGCGAAGGCGACUACCUGGCCUGUUUCUUGACGCUGAGGCGCGAAAGCUAGGGUAGCAAACGGG
rnacentral:rRNA from 1 species